GCGGUUGAGAUAGUAUUUGGCAAACUGGAGAAAGAAACAACUGAUAUCAGCUGAUAAUAACGACACUUAUUGAACACGUAUCACUUUGAAUCAGUCUUUUGUGACUUUGCCGGCUCAGUCAAACAGUAAGAGAAAAUGGCGGCCGUUAUUAAUACAGUUUUAUCAGAGAUCGGCUGGGAUGAGCGGUUUGCUAUCCCUGAACCUAACGCUGAAAACAAGGCUUUGAUUGAAGAGAUUCGUAAAAAAGAGAUGGAGUUGGUGCGACUGGACAACAAACUUGAGAGACACAGGGAACAAAAGCAGACAUUAACCGAAUUCUUUAAGAAUGUUAAACAAGAGCUGGACAGUACUGAGGCUCUGCUUAAAGCAAAGGAAAGAGAAGAAGAGUUUGAGAAACACCUCAACGCCCUCGCAGAGAGGGAGACAGGUCACCUGACACAGGAAGUUGCAAAGAUGGAGAGUGACAAUCGAUCUUUAGCAGAGAGAAAGAACAUGCUAGAGAAUCAUGUCUUCAAGGCCAAACAGAAGCUAGAGGACUUUAGGAACCAGAUGGAGUGGGACCAGCAGACCUUGGACGCCUUUUUAGAGGAGUCGGCACGCAAAGAUGAGGACACAAUGGCCAUCAUCAAGUAUGCCCAGCAAGACGAGCAGAGGAUAAAGUCACUCACUCUGGCUAUAGAGAAGAAGACACUGGAGGCCAGUGACAAGCGCAAAGCCCUUGACAAAGAAUUGACUGAGACUAUAUCUACACGGAUUGCUUUGGAUAAAACGACAGAGAAUUUGCAGCAGGCCCACCAGGAGACACAGCAGCUCAUCCACCAGUGGGAAAACACCAUCAAGCAGAUGAAGCAGAGAGAUGCUGAGAUGCAGCAGUGUGCUCUGCAACUUGCCCAAGCCAACCAGAACAUCAGGGACAGAAACACCAGCAUUGCAAAGAGGAAGCACUGGCUGGAAACUCAGAGGAACAACAAUAAGGAAACUGAGAGGAACCUAACCAUGGCCACCCGACACGCUGUAAAGCUGCGGCAGGAUUUGAAGGAGCAGGAGAAUAACUGCAGCAGGCUGAAGGAUGAGCUGAAAAGUUGCAAAGGCAGACUAGACGGAGCAACCUCCAGUGUGGAGUCUGCGUCGUCCCACAUAUCCAGGAUGAAGAAAGACAUCCAGGAUAACAAUGACAAACUCAUGAGGGCCAAGGCCUACAAUGCUGCGCUGGAGGAGAAGCUGAAAGAUGUGACUCAGACCGCCCUCAGUGAGGAGGAGAGGGCUGCACAGAUGGACCAACUCCUCAAGGAUGAGGAACGGGCAAUUAAGGAGUUGGAUGUCCAGCUGCGUGACUACAGGGAAGAGCUUUUUCGUGGUAAAGAACAUUUGCAGGCCCUCAAGACAAAGGAGAAGGAUUCUAUUGCUCUGGUCUCAAGGAGUAAAUCCACCAUCAACCAACUGGAGAGCCAGCUGAGAAAACAGGAGGAGGAAUUAAAAAGACAGCAGAUUAUCAUGAUGGAACAGGACACCCAGAUCAUCCACCUGGACAAAAAACUGGCACGGCUGCAAGGCGAAGUUCGCACCGAUGAAAAGCAAAUGUUGAACGUAAAGAUCGCUGAGCUGACCAAAACCCUAGAGGAGAAGAAGGAGAUGGCCAACAAGCUGACCAGUGCACUCAAGGAGGCUGAGGAUGAUAUUCGCUAUUUGAGGAAAGUGAUGGAGAAGUCAGAGGCUCAAAAGAGAGAUCUGACCGACAAGGUGGAGGAGCUCAUGCUUCUCUGUAACACCAAUGAAAAGGAGCUGAAGAGACUCAGGCUCAAGAGACAGGACACCCUGGUGGAGCACAACGUCCUUAAGACAGAGGUCGAGCGUGUGAGGAGUCUGCUGUACAGCAAGGCGGACAGCGUGCUGUCUCUGGAGAAGAGGAGGCUGGAGUUGCAGGAAGCCAUGAAGGACAGGGAGGAGGAGGUCAAGGUCUAUAAAAAAAUGCUAAAUCAGCAGCUCAAGAUCAGUGAGCAGGACAGACAGAAACUCAGCGUCGAACUGAGUGAGAAACUGUCCAAGGUCGACAUGAUGAAGAAACGCUUCGAGAUUGAGAUGUUUUCAAUGGCAGCCCCUGAGGGGGAAGAGGAGAAAUCACAGGCUUACUACAUCACAAAGGCUGCACAAGAGAAAGAGGAGCUCAAGCGAAAGGGAGACGAUCUGGAUGCUAAGAUCCGCAAGACGGAGCUGGAAAACAGAGCUCUAGAGAACACCAUCCGUUUGUUUGACAGCAGUAACACAGCAUUUCGCACAUCCCUCAACAAAGUGAAUGAAUCCAGUCCAGAACACCAGGAAAAGCUGAAGCUAGAAGAGCAGUUGAGGGCAGCUGAAGAGACGCUGAAGUAUAAAAAGAGACAAGUCCAAGAGCUCCAACAGGACUUACAGGACAUGAACAAUACCUUGGAGAGUCUGCUGCAAGACGAGCAGGUGGAGAAAGAUAAGAUACAGAGCAAACAGUCGCUCAUUGGUAAACUGAACAAAGAAAUCACUUCCCAGCAGGAGAAGGUUGACAGAGCCACAAAGCAGUGCUCUAAGCUGACCAAAGAGAUCCGCUCAGCACAGAACACCAAAACUGAGACAUUUGAGGAGAAGGACAUUAAGCUGAGGGAGUGGAAAGAAUUCAACAAGAGCAUCAACAAGAUGUUGAACGAGGCCAUGGAGGACAAACUCAACCUCAGAUCAGUGAUUGAGAAAUACUUCCUGCAGGCCAAUCUGUCUCUUCCGUCUCCGUCUUCCACUCCUGCCAGUGGCCGAAGCUCUAAGAGAAACUCUGUGUGCAGCUCUGCCUCUCUCAGGUCUCCUGCGUCCUCAGCCAGCAGCAGCCCCAGGGCCUCCGUGUCACCUCACUCCCACGUGCUGAAGACUGUGGAAGUGGGCUUGGAUCUGGCCGUGACCUCCCCUCCUCUCACCACCUCCAGACACUCCAGCUCUGUGAGCAGCAGCAGCAGCAGCAGCAGCAGCAGCAGAAAGUUAAAGAACCUGUAGUCAUGAAGGAUUUAUUAUCAAUCUUUAUUUACUGAUACGAGAGAAAGAGGAUUACAAUUACUCACAGAUGCACAGAGUAACUGUCUCAUCACAGGAUGAGAUGUGAUCAACUCUGAAAUGUGGUUUCAAAGCUCUAAAAAGAGCUUUACAAUGUGUGAUGUCAUACUAGAAAGUCUGUUUAGUAUUAGUUUAGUUUUAGUUUAGUUUAGUAUUACUCUUAAGCCCACUUCAGACCAAAGAUUCACGGUGUGCUGGUAUCAGACAGUUGGUUGCUGCUGCUGCUCGCUGUAUGUGCCUCUGAAGUACAGACAGUUGUUGCAUAGGGAUGAUACAUCAUCUCAUCUAGUUGCAUUGGUGUGAACCAGCAGGUUUUUAGAACGUUGCAGGAUGGAGCAUUGCAGGUAGUUGUUUCAGCUCAUCUUGUCACGAUUUUUUGGUCUGAACUGGGCUUUAAAGGAAACAAUAUUCAGAGCAUAUUUAUGAUUGGAGUGGGACCAGAGAUUGGCCACAGCGGCGUUCUUUCUUUGUGGGUCGGCAUGGUGGCACUCACAGGGACUCUCAUGCAACUCAACAUGCGGGUGCGGCUGGACCAUCCACCACAAUGACAAACUGAGAAGCUCAGAUUACAACACAAACAGAGGUGGACUGACUUCAGGUCAGGACCCCAUUACUCCUCUUUGUCUUCACAUAGCAAAUAAUUGUUAGCAGCUAUAUUAAUGUUCUGAAUAUCACAUACAGCUCCUUUAAAUUUGUUGUUUGUAGCCUUUGUUCAUUUCACUUUUGUAGGUAUUAUAUUUAUGAAAAAAUUAAUGUGGCCUAAAGGAAGACUUGAUUAUUGGAAUUUUCCUUUAAUUAAAAAAAGAAAAAUAGUUCUUGUUAUUUCUUUGCUGUUUUUUUGUCUUAAAAACAACUCAAGACAUCUCAAUAAAAAGUAGCUGAAAAGUCUGGGAGCACAUCAGAAUUUGCUUUUGGCUCAACUAAACCCUUUUUUUUUAUAACAAAAAUCCCUCUCUUAACCUUUUCUGACAUGCAUAAUCUUUUGAUAAUUUACAAGGUAUGAAAUUAUUUUGCUUUGUAGAAGAAGCAGUUAAAAAAACAACCUGCAUAAAGCAAAUCACAACCUCAGAAAUUACGUGCUUGACAGCCUUAAAAAGGUUCUUUCUCAUAUUUCGUCGCACAGAACUGGUUUGCUUCGGCCUUUGUUACAUGCUUGAGUUGCUCCAGCCCAGACAAUUGUCUUUGACAUGUCAUGUUGUUAUUGCCACACCCUCUUCAUGGCACAGAACAAAAGUAGCCAGAGGUUCUGUGGGAAUACAGACAACAUUUUCCCACUGCAGAUUUCACUCUUGUUUGGGAAUAAAGCUUUGACAUGCUGCUGCUGAUCCUGUUUGCUGGAUGUUUGGCCUCAUGUGCUGCACAGACAACAUCCUUUCCCUCCCUUGUCACGGAGGCUCCUUUUUCAGAGCCAAUACAAGCAACAUCAGUCCAACCAGCAUCUGAUCCAGCAGACAACGUUGUGGCAAUCCUGCUGACAGCUGUUCAGUCAUAUCAUGAGCUAAAUGAAACAACAGUUGGUCCAGUCCUGCACCGGCUCUACACCAUGAUCGAGCAGCUCAGACCAGAUCUGAACUUCAGUCUAUCAGUAAAGAACAUCACCAGAGUCUGAAACCUCAACAUAUAAGGUUUAUUUCUGUGUUUGCCAAGAUUUGAAAAAAAUGAGACUUUUGAAAAUAAUAUCCCCACUAACACUAUAUGGGCAAGGAGAAUCCUCGGUGGAGUUUUUAAUUUAUGUUUCUCCUUUCACUUUUUGGGAUGCCCCUAAAAAUGUGACAUGCUGCUCCACUUAGGACAAAGUGUGAGUCCUAAAUAAGGUACAACACUUGCAUUUGCUUUGAUUCAUCAAAGAGAUGUAUGUAAACAAUGGAUAAUGUUGCCAUUAACCAUAACCAAGUGUUUUUUGUUCCUAAACAUAACCACAUGUCAACCACUGUGUUUAUAACUGCUAUAUGCAAAUGUAACGUAUCCAUCACUUGCAGAAACAUACAAUACCAACAUUUAUUCUCGCAAUUGCAAUCUCCAAUGACACGUUGUCACUGAGUUGCUGUAAAAUGUAAAGAGGUGCAUGGAAAAAAUAAAUCAGUUGCCUCAUAA